UGUGGUGCUUAGGGGUAUGGUUUAGUGGUGCACUUGGCAGUGCUAGGUUUAGGGUUGGACUUGAUGAUCUUAGAGGUCUUUUCCAACCUAAAUUAUUCUAUGAUUC